ACUCCUACGGGAGGCAGCAGUGGGGAAUAUUGCACAAUGGGCGGAAGCCUGAUGCAGCAACGCCGCGUGCGGGAUGACGGCCUUCGGGUUGUAAACCGCUUUCAGCAGGGACGAAGCGUGAGUGACGGUACCUGCAGAAGAAGCACCGGCUAACUACGUGCCAGCAGCCGCGGUAAU
rnacentral:rRNA from 1 species